UGCGUCUGUGUCUGUGCGCACGCUCGUGCCCACUAGGACAGUACCGCGAUAGUUGCUGUGCUCCUCUUGGUGCUUCUCCUCGUGGCACCUGGUUUCAAACUGGGCUGCCCGGCCGUCUCACAGGCACUCACACAGUCGACUCCGACCUCCCUCCCUUCCAGAGUGCACACGAUUUCUCUGCUAGCCCUUGGUUUCUUCUGUUGCUGUGUUCCUCUUCUCAUUCCCGGCCGUGCGUCGGCACCUCUCGCUCCAUCCCCUUCAGUACACAGAGGAAGCAUCGGCGCCGCCAAUGAGCGCCCUAUUCGACUUCGAGACGGUCUUGUAUGUGUUGCUCUUGAUUGUGUGCACUGCAACGUACCUUAGACAAUUCAGACCCACACUGUACCACCGUGAUAGUUUUGAGCUCUACAAGAAGUUCCUCUACAAGUGUAGCGUGGUGGGCGAUCGCCUCUCUCCGUGGGUUUCCAUUUGCUGUCUCGUCUUGGCGUUUCGCGUCAUUUUUGUGUAUUGAGGGGACAAGAGAAAACAAAGCAUGCUGUCAAAAAAGCCCAUACAGAAAGGAAAACCGAUGAAAUGAAGCUCCAACAUGUGCGGGGUGGCAUGCCUGUCGGUCGCUGCUAGCACCCCGUUGAGAAUGUUGACGGGGACGGCGCUCAUGUCGCUGACGCACCAAAUCCACCGUCUGCUGUGGACUUCAAACCCGUCUCGGCACACAUACAAAAUAUCGUGACUGAGGGUGCCGGUCGGGGAGCUCUCCCUUUCCCAAAAGCCUCCUCGCCUGAGGUGCCUUGCAUGUGCUCACCUAAUCCCGCCUCAUGUUUCUCUCGUCAUCUGUAG
rnacentral:misc_RNA from 1 species